rnacentral:rRNA from 1 species
UUGAACGCUGGCGGCAGGCCUAACACAUGCAAGUCGAGCGGAUGAAGGGAGCUUGCUCCUGGAUUCAGCGGCGGACGGGUGAGUAAUGCCUAGGAAUCUGCCUGGUAGUGGGGGAUAACGUCCGGAAACGGGCGCUAAUACCGCAUACGUCCUGAGGGAGAAAGUGGGGGAUCUUCGGACCUCACGCUAUCAGAUGAGCCUAGGUCGGAUUAGCUAGUUGGUGGGGUAAAGGCCUACCAAGGCGACGAUCCGUAACUGGUCUGAGAGGAUGAUCAGUCACACUGGAACUGAGACACGGUCCAGACUCCUACGGGAGGCAGCAGUGGGGAAUAUUGGACAGUGGGCGAAAGCCUGAUCCAGCCAUGCCGCGUGUGUGAAGAAGGUCUUCGGAUUGUAAAGCACUUUAAGUUGGGAGGAAGGGCAGUAAGUUAAUACCUUGCUGUUUUGACGUUACCAACAGAAUAAGCACCGGCUAACUUCGU